AUUAAACGCUGGCGGCAGGCCUAACACAUGCAAGUCGAGCGGACCGGAGGACGGGUGAGUAAUGCCUAGGAAUCUGCCUGGUAGUGGGGGAUAACGUCCGGAAACGAGCGCUAAUACCGCAUACUAUCACAUGAGACUAGGUCGGAUUAGCUAGUUGGUGGGGUAAAGGACUACCAAGGCGACGAUCCGUAACUGGUCUGAGUGUAUGAUCAGUCACACUGGAACUGAGAAACGGUACAGACUCCGACGGGAGGCAGCAGUGGGGAAUAUUGGACAAUGGGCUAAAGCCUGAUCCAGCCAUGCCGCGUGUAUGAAGAAGGUCUUCGGAUUGCAAAGCACUUUAAGUUGGGAGGCGUUACCCGCAGAAGAAGCACCGGCUAACUCCGUGCCAGCAGCCGCGGUAAUUC
rnacentral:rRNA from 1 species